rnacentral:rRNA from 1 species
CCUACGGGAGGCAGCAGUGGGGAAUAUUGGACAAUGGGGGCAACCCUGAUCCAGCCAUGCCGCGUGUGUGAAGAAGGCCCUCGGGUUGUAAAGCACUUUCAGUGAGGAAGAACGCCUGGUGGUUAAUACCCAUCAGGAAAGACAUCACUCUCAGAAGAAGCACCGGCUAACUCCGUGCCAGCAGCCGCGGUAAUACGGAGGGUGCGAGCGUUAAUCGGAAUUACUGGGCGUAAAGCGCGCGUAGGUGGCUUGAUAAGCCGGUUGUGAAAGCCCCGGGCUCAACCUGGGAACGGCAUCCGGAACUGUCAAGCUAGAGUGCAGGAGAGGAAGGUAGAAUUCCCGGUGUAGCGGUGAAAUGCGUAGAGAUCGGGAGGAAUACCAGUGGCGAAGGCGGCCUUCUGGACUGACACUGACACUGAGGUGCGAAAGCGUGGGUAGCAAACAGGAUUAGAUACCCCAGUAGUC